UGAACACCUCCUAAAUAGGACGAAACCCGUCUCUUCUCAGGCAGCGGUCAUGUCCCUACAGAAGGUCAGAUGUCAAACACCUGCCUAGAACCUGGGAGUUUAGCAAAAUUGGCAAUGCACCUGCCGCUGACUUUGGACUGCCACCCCUACCCAAGCAAGCUGCUCCAGAAGAGCCGAUUUGACUCUUAAGGUCCAGGUCCAGUUCCCACCAGCCUUUCUACAGACAUACAGGGGAGUAACCUGCUCUGGUGCCUCCACAGACCAACCUUGAGUGUACUGCCUGCACAGAGUUCUGCGGCCUCAGUUUCCCCACUUAUUAAAAGCAGGAGGAAGAGGCUACCUCCGGACCGGUUUGAGAAUUCCAUGUAUCAAAAGACCACUCCAGCCUGAGAAGGGCCUUCUCUCCUUGAGACCUUGGAGCCUUCUCAGCAGCGACACAGACAAGUAUAACAGGCCUGGGGGCACCCAGAAGCCUCCACAUGGGGGCAAGAUUUAAGAAGGGGCCAGAUACGGGACACAUACCUUUAGUCCUAGCACUCAGGCAAGUCACUUUCCCUUUGUUCAAAGCUAGCCUGAGCUACAUAUUGAGGCCCAAGCCUGCCAGGAAUGCAGAACCAGAUUCCCAUGAGUACCUGGAGAGAGCAACAGCCACUCUUCUUCCAGAGGACCCAGGUUCAAUUCCCAGCACCCACAUGGCUGCUGACAAGCAUCUAUAACUCCAGCUCCAGAGGCCCAGUCGUUCUCUUAGACAUGCACACAGGCAAAACACCAGUAUGUAAUAAUAAAUAAAUGUGAAUGAAUAAAUAAAACUUUAAAGAUUUAAUAAAACAUAAAAAUUGA
rnacentral:lncRNA from 1 species